AUGAUGAGUUCUGCUCUGUUUCUGUUUCUGCUAAUGCUCUGGAUUCAGGAAACCAGUGGUGAUGUUGUGAUGACCCAGACUCCACUGUCUUUGUCGGUUACCAUUGGACAACCAGCCUCCAUCUCUUGCAAGUCAAGUCAGAGCCUCUUAUAUAGUGAUGGAAACACCUAUUUGUAUUGGAUAUUACAGAGGCCAGGCCAGUCUCCAAAGGCCCUAAUCUAUCUGGUGUCCAAAUUGCAUGCUGGGGUCCCUGACAGGUUCAGUGGUAGUGGAUCAGAGACAGAUUUCACACUUAAAAUCAGCAGAGUGGAGCCUGAGGAUUUGGGAAUUUAUUACUGCUUGCAAAGUACCCAUGAUCCUCACACAGUGAUACACUGUCUAACAAAAACUUCCUUGCCUAGGGCUGCUCAGCUGGCCAUGUGCUUCUUGAUUGGAGAAGAGCACAGCACCCUGUAUGUGAGGGAGGGAGGAGCUGGGGAACAUGAGUAA